AGUGAACGCUGGCGAUAGGCCUAACACAUGCAAGUCGAACGGCAGCACAGUAAGAGCUUGCUCUUACGGGUGGCGAGUGGCGGACGGGUGAGGAAUACAUCGCAAUCUACUUUUUCGUGGGGGAUAACGUAGGGAAACUUACGCUAAUACCGCAUACGACCUACGGGUGAAAGCAGGGGAUCUUCGGACCUUGCGCGAUUGAAUGAGCCGAUGUCGGAUUAGCUAGUUGGCGGGGUAAAGGCCCACCAAGGCGACGAUCCGUAGCUGGUCUGAGAGGAUGAUCAGCCACACUGGAACUGAGACACGGUCCAGACUCCUACGGGAGGCAGCAGUGGGGAAUAUUGGACAAUGGGCGCAAGCCUGAUCCAGCCAUACCGCGUGGGUGAAGAAGGCCUUCGGGUUGUAAAGCCCUUUUGUUGGGAAAGAAAAGCAGCAGGUUAAUACCCCGCUGUUCUGACGGUACCCAAAGAAUAAGCACCGGCUAACUUCGUG
rnacentral:rRNA from 1 species